rnacentral:sRNA from 1 species
UGCCUAAGUAUUGUAUCCUUGUAAGAAGAUACAAAGACAAACACUCAUACGGACUUCGGCUACACCAUCAAAGCUUUGAGAAGCAAGAAGAAGCUUGGUUAGUGUUUUGGAAUCGAAUAUGACUUGAUGUGAUGUGUAUGAUUGAGUAUAAGAACUUAAACCGCAACCGGAUCUUAAGAGCCUAAGUAGUGUUUCCUUGUUAGAAGAUACAAACCCA